AAUCACCCGCUGCUAGUGCGUGGAAGGCAGUUUAGUGGAGACUGCUCAGCUAAAGGCGGAGAGGCUCUUGAACUCGCGCAGGUCUGGGCUCUGCUAGUGGGCUAGGGACAGGCGCUUGGACUCUUGCUAUGCGAGAGAUGUUUCAUCACCACCACGAUCAAGCUAGAGAUAUCCCAUUUGGGCACUUUCACUUCCUUUCAAUGUGAUACCUAACCCCUGCCAACCAGGAUUUACCAGGAAAGCUUACAAUAGCUGCCUGUGGACAGGGGUGGAAGAAUGCAUAAUGGCCAUCUGCAAGGAUCCAGUCAAAAGUGGAAGGCCUAAAGCUCUCUGCAGAAUCCAUCAUGAGUCCUUGUCAAAAGGGCUAAGGGCCUGCAUUGGGAGGAACUGUAGAAGAAUGUCCAGAGGCAAUAAAGGCAAAAGGUCCUCCAAGGAAGCAAAGAGAAGACCUCCUUUUCCAUUCCCUGUUUAUUCUGUCGAGGCUACAAGCCUAGCUGGUGGUUGCCAUCCAUGCCAAGGGUCAGUUUACCUUCCUGUUUGUGGCUUACAUGUCUAUAUCCAUUGGUACACUCAAAACUGUGCCCCAUGAGGCAAUCUUAAUUCCAGUUGACUUUUCAAGUUUGUUUAUAUCUAGAUGCCCUCCGAUACCUCAUGUACUCAUAGUUGGGACUUUUGGGAGGAGAUUGGAUUAUGGAGGUGUGAUAGAUUAGUGUACUAAUGAGAUUAUGCCUAAAUGUGAUGCUGGGAGCAGAAACCUGGUUGAGGAAGUGGCCCACUGGGCCCAACAGUGUCCUGGAAGGAUACAGUAUCUCUCCCCCUCCCCACUUAAUGUCUGUCUGCUUCUAUGCAAUGAACUGUUUCUCUACUAUUGUGCUCGACUGCCAUGGAGCCAGCCAGAUAUCGACUGAAGCUUUUACAAACUGUGAGCUAAAAUAAACCUCUCCUCCUUUAAUUUGUGGGUGUAGGUAUUUUUGCUCCAGCAACAAGGGAAGUAAUUUAUUAUAAGGUUUAUAUAAAGUAUUUAUCCACAUUACAGACAGUACUCUCCAUAUUAUCAGAAGGGGAAAUCACAGCAGCUUCAAGUCUCAUCAAAUUAGCCAAUUCCAAUUUGAUUGUAUAAAGGAUUUACUAAGAAGACUUACAGUGCCUACCUGUGGAAUUAGAGUAAAAAAAUGCAAAACAUCUGCCUGCAUGCUGGACAGCCACAAGGCAACUCAAAGGUCAAAAUUCUGGAGCUCAUAGCAGAGUCCUGUGCAAGUCCACGUUGGAAAGUCAGAGUCUACAAUGGAAGACUGAAAACUGUCCUGCAAGUCUGAAAGAACUACAGAUGAAUGUCCAAAGACAGUUAUAACUAAAGAUCCUUCAAAGAAAUGAAGGGAAUACUUCCUUCUUUCCUUUCUUAUUCUGUCUAAGCUACAAGCCUGUUGGUUGAUGUCACCCACAUCAAGGGUGGGUCUUUCCUCCUCAGUCUGCAGCCUACAUGUCAGAUAUCCAUUGAUAUACCCAAAUUGACGUGUCACAGUUAAUGAUCACAAUAACUGGAGAUUGGUUUUUUUUUUAUCCCCUGAAUGCCUUGAGACCCAUACAAGCUGUAUAUAUCAGUACUCUAUAACUUUUGAUUACUAGGUUUUACAGCAUGGUAUAGAUGUUCUGUGAUAUCACAGCUUGUUUUAAUCACUCACUUGUUGAGGACUAUUUCCAUUAUUUUCAUUUUUUGGUUACUAUAACAAUGUUGCUAUGAACAGUCAUACAGGUUUAUAUGAAUGAAAGGUUUUUUACUACACUAAAUUCCAAGAAUGUGGCCGUUGAGAAAUGCAACUAAGUAUAUAUCUAAUUUUUAGGAACUGCCAAUCUUCCACAAUAUGUAUAGCAUUUCAUUUACCUACCAGCAUUCCAUGACAGAUCUCAUUUUUGCAUAUCUUUACCAACAUUUGGUAUUGUCAUUCUUUUUAUAUUAAAUAUUUUUUCUUGUUUAUUUGAGACACAGUCUUACUAUGUAGUUCACGCUGGUCUUGAUUUCAUUGUGUAGCACAAACUGGCCUUCAACUCAAGGCAAUCCUCCUGCCUCAGCCUCCUGAGUACUGGGAAUACAGGCAUGCACCAUCACAGCCAGAAUUACAUGUUCUAAUAAUGUAUAGAAUUGUGGUCCUUAUUUGGACCAUUUUGACAUAUGCUUAUCUGCCACUUGUCUUUCUUAGUGAAAUAUCUCUUCGGGUCUAUUGCCCUUUUUGAAACUGAGCUUUUUGUCAGGGACCAGGCCAAGAUCCAAGCUGCCUACAUGAGGGGUACAGCAAAAGGAUGAAGUAAGGGACAGACAAAGUAAAUCAUGACAGGAGCUGGGAGAUGAAAGCCUCAAGAUGGGCAGAGACAAAGACGCUCUGAGCUGCCAUUGGGUGCACACAUAACAGGUGGGAGUAUUGGAUGACUCAGAGGAAGGCAUGAUCUUAAUGCAGAUGAGCAUCUUAAGGUGGUGAGGAUCAGUUCAGAAGAGGGCAGUGAAAUGUGCAAGGCAUUUUUACAAUAGCAGGUGGGAAAAGGCAGCAGGCAAAUUAGGAGUUCCUCCUUGCCCCCAAGUGAAAACUGUUUUUGUUACUAUUUGGUUCUCAAGGAACCAGGAUGUUUUCAGCUGAUGUAAUCUUGCCCUGGAAUAUCAUAGCAUCACAGAACCAUUUGUCGCAGCUGGGUGGUAGGUCAAGAUAGUGGGCCUCAGAUAAGCCCUAGCCACAAUUUAAUUAUGAAAUUAUUUCUCCCCCAAAAUUAUAUAGAACAGUUUUAGACAGCUUUUUAAUGUUGAGGUUUUUGAUAGCUUGCUUUAUGCAUAUACUAGAUAUAAGCCCAUAGUCAGAUAUGUGGUUUGGAAACAUUUUCUCUAAAUUUCUCGCUGUAUUAUUAGCCUUUCUCAAAGCUUCAUUUUUAAAUUUGAAAAGGUAUCAUUUAUUACUUUUUUCUUUUAUUGUGCUUUUAGUGUUAUAUCUAAGAACUCUACAAAGUCAUAGUUAAAACUAAUUUCUCAUCUGUUGCUUUCUAAAAAUGUUAUAGUCUUGCAUUUUUGUAAUUCUUUCUUUGAGAUAUGAUAUGACUGUGUUACCUUGGUCUCAAUUCCUGGGUUUGAGAUCCUCCUGCUUAAACCUCAAGAGCAAGUGAGAAUAUAGACAUAUACUAUUACACUCAGUUUGCAGUACAUCAGAGUUAACAUUUUUGUAUGUGAGGAAUGAGAACUGCAAUAAAUUUCAUUUUGCUUUUUUUU